CCUGGUUGAUCCUGCCAGUAAUCAUAUGCUUGUCUCAAAGAUUAAGCCAUGCAUGUCUAAGUACAUGCCGAAAUAAGGCGAAACCGCGAAUGGCUCAUUAAAUCAGUUAUGGUUCCUUAGAUCGUUUCUUUCUACUUGGACAACUGUGGCAAUUCUAGAGCUAAUACAUGCAUUGAGCCUGAAGGCCUUUGGCUGACGGGCGCUUUUAUUAGACCAAGACCCAUCGGGUUCUGCCCGUACUCUGUGGUGACUCUGGAUAACUUUGUGCUGAUCGCAUGGCCAUGAGCCGGCGACGUUUCUUUCAAGUGUCUGCCUUAUCAACUUUCGAUGGUAGGUUACUUGCCUACCAUGGUUGUUACGGGUAACGGAGAAUCAGGGUUCGAUUCCGGAGAGGGAGCCUGAGAAACGGCUACCACAUCCAAGGAAGGCAGCAGGCGCGCAAAUUACCCACUCCCGGCACGGGGAGGUAGUGACGAAAAAUAACAAUACGGGACUCUUUUGAGGCCCCGUAAUUGAAAUGAGUACACUCUAAAUCCUUUAACGAGGAUCAAUUGGAGGGCAAGUCUGGUGCCAGCAGCCGCGGUAAUUCCAGCUCCAAUAGCGUAUACUAAAGCUGCUGCGGUUAAAAAGCUCGUAGUUGGAUCUCAGUUCCAGACGAGUAGUGCAUCUACCCGAUGCGACGGCUCGGACUGAACAUCAUGCCGGUCCUCUCUUGGUGCCCUUCAUUGGUGCGUCUCGAGGAGGCCUGCGCUUUUACUUUGAAAAAAUUAGAGUGCUCAACGCAGGCGAGUCGCCUGAAUAAACUUGCAUGGAAUAAUAGAACAAGACCCCGUUUCUGUUCUGUUGGUUUUUGGAAUACGGGGUAAUGAUUAAGAGGGACAGACGGGGGCAUUCGUAUUGCGGCGCUAGAGGUGAAAUUCUUGGACCGUCGCAAGACGAACUACUGCGAAAGCAUUUGCCAAGAAUGUUUUCUUUGAUCAGGAACGAAAGUCAGAGGUUCGAAGGCGAUCAGAUACCGCCCUAGUUC
rnacentral:rRNA from 1 species